rnacentral:tRNA from 1 species
GGGGGCGUGCCCGAGCAAGGACUACCUUGAUAGAGUAGGCACGGAACCAACAACAUUCCCGCCCCCC